AUAUUUCUGUUGUCUAAUCUCAUCUGAGAGCGGGGGACCCACUUUUUUGGGGCGAAUCUAUUUUUAGAAGAAGACCUUUACUUCUAGCCCGACAGCUAACUCCGUAGACUUUAAAUAAGGGACAG
rfam:Halanaerobium kushneri strain ATCC 700103 genome assembly, contig: Ga0104713_107